CCUACGGGAGGCAGCAGUGAGGAAUAUUGGUCAAUGGGCGCGAGCCUGAACCAGCCAAGUCGCGUGAGGGACGACGGUCCUAUGGAUCGUAAACCUCUUUUGUCGGGGAGCAAAAGACGCCACGCGUGGCGCUCCGAGAGUACCCGAAGAAAAAGCAUCGGCUAACUCCGUGCCAGCAGCCGCGGUAAUACGGAGGAUGCGAGCGUUAUCCGGAUUUAUUGGGUUUAAAGGGUGCGCAGGCGGAAGAUCAAGUCAGCGGUAAAAUGGUGAGGGCCAACCUCUUCGAGCCGUUGAAACUGGUGUUCUUGAGUGAGCGAGAAGUAUGCGGAAUGCGUGGUGUAGCGGUGAAAUGCAUAGAUAUCACGCAGAACCCCGAUUGCGAAGGCAGCAUACCGGCGCUCAACUGACGCUGAUGCACGAAAGUGUGGGUAUCGAACAGGAUUAGAUACCCUUGUAGUC
rnacentral:rRNA from 1 species